UACCCGCAGCACAAGUGGUGGUCAUUAUUAUUGGGCCUAAAGCGUCCGUAGCUGGCGUGUUAGAUGCCUGGGUAAAUCGAUGCGCUCAACGUAUCGAAUUCCGGGUAGACCGGCACGCUCGAGACCGGGAGAGGUGUGGGGUACUCGGGGGGUAGGGGUAAAAUCCUGUAAUCCUCCGGGGACGACCAGUGGCGAAGGCGCCACACUAGAACGGCUCUGACAGUGAGGGACGAAGCCCUGGGGCGCAAACCGG
rnacentral:rRNA from 1 species